rnacentral:sRNA from 1 species
AAUCCGGGGGGAUUAGGGGAGCCCGAGCUGGGGGAGUGGCCCUGUCCCCUUCCACGCCCCUCUUGGCGGUCCUAUGUCGGAGACCUCCAUCUACCGGCCGGGAUGGCUGGGGCCUGGGCGCUGUUCUCCGGCCCUUCCCGGGAAGGGGAGGGGGUUCCCGCCAGUUUCCUGCCUCCCCCCGCGCCACGCCGGGGCGGCGCCGGGAAGCCACUCCUUCUAGGAGCGCAGAGCCUUGGCGCUCCCUGGGAGUCUGGUCGGCGGGCUGUGGGGUCCCAAAAUCGUGACCCCAGCCCCUCUCCCCUCCUCCCCCACCAUCUCCCAUGUCAGGAUCAGUUCGAGGUGCUCGAGCGCCACACGCAGUGGGGGCUGGACCUGUUGGACAGAUAUGUAAAGUUCGUGAAAGAACGCACCGAAGUGGAACAGGCUUACGCCAAACAACUGCGGAGCCUGGUGAAAAAAUAUCUGCCCAAGAGACCUGCCAAGGAUGAUCCUGAGUCCAAGUUCAGCCAGCAACAGUCCUUCGUACAGAUUCUCCAGGAGGUGAAUGACUUUGCAGGCCAGCGGGAGCUGGUGGCCGAGAACCUCAGUGUCCGUGUAUGUCUUGAGCUGACCAAGUACUCACAAGAGAUGAAACAGGAGAGGAAGAUGCACUUCCAAGAAGGGCGGCGGGCCCAGCAGCAGCUGGAAAACGGCUUCAAACAGCUGGAGAAUAGUAAGCGUAAAUUUGAGCGGGACUGCCGGGAGGCAGAGAAGGCAGCCCAGACUGCUGAACGGCUAGACCAGGAUAUCAACGCCACCAAGGCUGAUGUGGAGAAGGCCAAGCAGCAAGCCCACCUUCGGAGUCAUAUGGCUGAAGAAAGCAAAAACGAAUAUGCAGCUCAACUGCAGCGCUUCAACCGAGACCAAGCCCACUUCUAUUUUUCACAGAUGCCGCAGAUAUUCGAUAAGCUCCAAGACAUGGAUGAACGCAGGGCCACCCGCCUGGGUGCCGGGUAUGGGCUCCUGUCGGAGGCUGAGCUGGAGGUGGUGCCCAUCAUAGCCAAGUGCUUGGAGGGCAUGAAGGUGGCUGCAAAUGCUGUGGAUCCCAAGAACGACUCCCAAGUCCUUAUAGAGCUGCACAAGUCAGGUUUUGCCCGCCCGGGCGACGUGGAAUUCGAGGACUUCAGCCAGCCCAUGAACCGUGCACCCUCGGACAGCAGUCUGGGCACCCCCUCGGAUGGACGGCCUGAACUCCGAGGCCCGGGCCGCAGCCGCACCAAGCGCUGGCCUUUUGGCAAGAAGAACAAGGUGGGGGCCGGGACCCUUGGGAUGGUGGGGGGAGAAGGACAGUGAAGUGGGGACAGUGGGGCCCCUAUUGAGUCAGCCCCAGCCGCCUGAACACCGAGUCCCGGGCAGGAAUUUUCCUCUUGGCUGCCAGCCUGGGCUGGAGGGAAGGAAGGUGGGCGGGCCGAUUGGCCUGGGAGUCCCCCGAGGCAAAGGCGGGGGCAGGGUGGGGAGG